rnacentral:rRNA from 1 species
CUACGGGAGGCAGCAAUCAGGGAUCUUGCGCAAUGGGCGAAAGCCUGACGCAGCGACGCCGCGUGGGUGAGGAAGUCCCUCGGGAUGUAAAGCCCUUUUGUCGGGGACGAUGAUGACGGUACCCGACGAAUAAGCCCCGGCUAACUACGUGCCAGCAGCCGCGGUAAUACGUAGGGGGCGAGCGUUGUCCGGAGUUACUGGGCGUAAAGGGCGCGUAGGCGGAUGCUUAAGUUGUCAGUGAAAGCCCCCGGCUCAACCGGGGAGAGUCUGGCAAGACUGGGUGUCUGGAGGACAGUAGAGGAGAGUGGAAUUGCUGGUGGAGCGGUGGAAUGCGUAGAGAUCAGCAGGAACACCCGUGGCGAAGGCGGCUCUCUGGACUUGUCCUGACGCUGAGGCGCGAAAGCUGGGGGAGCGAACGGGAUUAGAUACCCCAGUAGUCCC